GAUGAACGCUGGCGGCGUGCCUAAUACAUGCAAGUCGAGCGAACAGACGAGGAGCUUGCUCCUCUGACGUUAGCGGCGGACGGGUGAGUAACACGUGGAUAACCUACCUAUAAGACUGGUAUAACUUCGGGAAACCGGAGCUAAUACCGGAUAAUAUAUUGAACCGCAUGGUUCAAUAGUGAAAGACGGUUUUGCUGUCACUUAUAGAUGGAUCCGCGCCGCAUUAGCUAGUUGGUAAGGUAACGGCUUACCAAGGCAACGAUGCGUAGCCGACCUGAGAGGGUGAUCGGCCACACUGGAACUGAGACACGGUCCAGACUACUACGGGAGGCAGCAGUAGGGAAUCUUCCGCAAUGGGCGAAAGCCUGACGGAGCAACGCCGCGUGAGUGAUGAAGGUCUUCGGAUCGUAAAACUCUGUUAUUAGGGAAGAACAAAUGUGUAAGUAACUAUGCACGUCUUGACGGUACCUAAUCAGAAAGCCACGGCUAACUACGUG
rnacentral:rRNA from 1 species